rnacentral:rRNA from 1 species
CUACGGGACGCUGCAGUGAGGAAUUUUGCGCAAUGGGGGGAACCCUGACGCAGCAACGCCGCGUGAGUGAUGAAGGCCUUCGGGUCGUAAAGCUCUGUCAAGUGUGAAGAAACAGCAAAAUGUUAAUAUCAUUUUGCAUUUGACUGUAACACUAAAGGAAGCACCGGCUAACUCCGUGCCAGCAGCCGCGGUAAUACGGGGGGUGCAAGCGUUAUUUGGAAUCAUUGGGCGUAAAGGGCGCGUAGGUGGUACUAUAAGUCAGAUGUGAAAGCCCGGAGCUUAACUUUGGAAGAGCAUUUGAAACUAUAGGACUUGAGUAUGGGAGAGGGAAGUGGAAUUCCUGGUGUAGAGGUGAAAUUCGUAGAUAUCAGGAGGAACACCAGUGGCGAAGGCGGCUUCCUGGACCAAUACUGACGCUGAGGCGCGAAGGCGUGGGGAGCAAACAGGAUUAGAUACCCCUGUAGUC